UAUCAUAACAGAAACAUAUCAUGGCAAAGUAAUUCCUUGUAGAUUGCCGGGGGAAUUUAUUUCUGAUUCGCUAAAUCAAUGCAAAAAUUGCAGUUAAUGCCAUGAAGAUGUAAAACUUCGAAAACCUGAAAAAAAUUUUUCCACCAAGCUGUCGAGGAGAAUAGGCUUUGUCGCUAGGACCACUGGAGAGCAGAAUUGAAUCUGAUGUGAAAUUCUUAUGCUCGGUAAACAAUACAUAUUCAGGAGAUAUCGAUGGGGAAAAGACCAACCGUGUUUGAGAAUUGUUUUGGAUCACAAUGCUUUCUCUUGCCAUUUUUUUGACUGUAUUACUGGUUGCCGGAGUAACAUUAUUUCACCUUUACUGUGUUGGAAGUUUGUGCUGUGGUCUCCGGCAAAGACACAGGGCUCAAAUGAUCGCCUACAUGACAAAAUAAGAAACUCUUAUCGAGCUGACAGCGAAACUGAGGAGGAGAAAGACCAGGGCGAUUUUCUGAGUCACUUAAUUUUCAAUCCGCGUAGCAGUAAAAAGGAGUGCAAUGGACAAAUUUCAACUUAUAAUUCGAAGGGUCAAACACCUUAGAGCAUAAAGUUUCUAGCUUCAAAUCCAGCACAAUAUUCACACUCAAACAACUCUUUGGUUUAAAGGUUGCCAGAAAGAAAUACCCGGUUAGCGGUUAUUGGUGUUCCAUGUUUAUGGAUGGUGGCAGUAAGCCAGCCUGGACACAAGCCAACAUCACUUACACAAAUAAGUUUUUAUUGAAAAUUACGAAACGUAGUGAUGUGCUAUAUAUGUGUGUAACUUCGAAAAGUGACUUAAGUAGCUCAGCAGAAUCAUUUUGACAUUUCCAUUGAUGAAAUACCUACGGAAGGAACAUUUCAUCCAAGUAUGGUGGUGGUGACGGCCGUUUUCCUUGGAGUAAUUGUGGCUGGAUUUAGCGUGUUGGAUAUCUACUUGCUGAAACGAUGUUUUGGGGAGGAACAAAAUCAGCUGGAAGAUACGGAACCGUAUGCACAAGUGUUCCCAGUGACAAUACCUUACUUCUCUGCGAGAUAAACCAAUUUUUGAGACCUACGCUUGCGCUCAAGAGAUAAAGCCACGACAAUUUAUAACCUAAAAGACACAUGGCGAAUGAAAUGAGACAUUUAGAAAGUAUAUUCCUUUGUAUAUAAGGUUUAUCAAUACGAAAUGAGAUAUUUGAAGCAGAUUUUCUACGUUCUUAAAGGAUGCGCUAAAAUUUCAUUGGUUUUCAAUGUGUUGGAGUUUUCACAUCUCUAUCUUCUAAGGAAAAUGGAUUCUGGUGUAAUAUUGUACAAGCAAUAGUUUUUGGACUUAAAUUAUGGUUAUUCUUAGUGAAUUGGCUUCGUUAUUGUUUUAUUCGAUUUGCAGGAUUAUAAGAAGUUUCUCUUUUUGAGAAACGGAUUAACUCUGUUUAUUAUUUUUUCGGGUCUCGUAAAGUGUACAUCUCAGCUGAUGUAGUUGUUGUUAUUGUGUUGUAGAGGUAAGAAUGUG